UCGAACGGUAACAGGAAGCAGCUUGCUGCUUUGCUGACGAGUGGCGGACGGGUGAGUAAUGUCUGGGAAACUGCCUGAUGGAGGGGGAUAACUACUGGAAACGGUGGCUAAUACCGCAUAACGUCGCAAGACCAAAGAGGGGGACCUUCGGGCCUCUUGCCAUCAGAUGUGCCCAGAUGGGAUUAGCUAGUUGGUGAGGUAACGGCUCACCAAGGCGACGAUCCCUAGCUGGUCUGAGAGGAUGACCAGCCACACUGGAACUGAGACACGGUCCAGACUCCUACGGGAGGCAGCAGUGGGGAAUAUUGCACAAUGGGCGCAAGCCUGAUGCAGCCAUGCCGCGUGUAUGAAGAAGGCCUUCGGGUUGUAAAGUACUUUCAGCGGGGAGGAAGGUGUUGUGGUUAAUAACCGCAGCAAUUGACGUUACCCGCAGAAGAAGCACCGGCUAACUCCGUGCCAGCAGCCGCGGUAAUACGGAGGGUGCAAGCGUUAAUCGGAAUUACUGGGCGUAAAGCGCACGCAGGCGGUCUGUCAAGUCGGAUGUGAAAUCCCCGGGCUCAACCUGGGAACUGCAUUCGAAACUGGCAGGCUUGAGUCUUGUAGAGGGGGGUAGAAUUCCAGGUGUAGCGGUGAAAUGCGUAGAGAUCUGGAGGAAUACCGGUGGCGAAGGCGGCCCCCUGGACAAAGACUGACGCUCAGGUGCGAAAGCGUGGGGAGCAAACAGGAUUAGAUACCCUGGUAGUCCACGCCGUAAACGAUGUCUACUUGGAGGUUGUGCCCUUGAGGCGUGGCUUCCGGAGCUAACGCGUUAAGUAGACCGCCUGGGGAGUACGGCCGCAAGGUUAAAACUCAAAUGAAUUGACGGGGGCCCGCACAAGCGGUGGAGCAUGUGGUUUAAUUCGAUGCAACGCGAAGAACCUUACCUGGUCUUGACAUCCACAGAAGAAUCCAGAGAUGGAUUUGUGCCUUCGGGAACUGUGAGACAGGUGCUGCAUGGCUGUCGUCAGCUCGUGUUGUGAAAUGUUGGGUUAAGUCCCGCAACGAGCGCAACCCUUAUCCUUUGUUGCCAGCGGUCCGGCCGGGAACUCAAAGGAGACUGCCAGUGAUAAACUGGAGGAAGGUGGGGAUGACGUCAAGUCAUCAUGGCCCUUACGACCAGGGCUACACACGUGCUACAAUGGCGCAUACAAAGAGAAGCGACCUCGCGAGAGCAAGCGGACCUCAUAAAGUGCGUCGUAGUCCGGAUUGGAGUCUGCAACUCGACUCCAUGAAGUCGGAAUCGCUAGUAAUCGUGGAUCAGAAUGCCACGGUGAAUACGUUCCCGGGCCUUGUACACACCGCCCGUCACACCAUGGGAGUGGGUUGCAAAAGAAGUAGGUAGCUUAACCUUCGGGAGGGCGCUUACCACUUUGUGAUUCAUGACUGGGGUGAAGUCGUAACAAGGUAACCGUAGGGGAACCUGCGGUUGGAUCACCUCCUUA
rnacentral:rRNA from 1 species